UUAGGGGCAUUUAGGUCAUUUGGUGCGGGAACAGCAUCUCUUAAAUUAAAUGGCCCCCGCUUUCCGACGGUCUCACGUCCAAAGCGUGAAGAACAGCAACGACAACAGCGAGUCUCGCUCCGUUAACUUUAACCAUUCCAACCUCCUCCCUCCCCCACGCUCUUCCCUUUCCUCCUCCCUUUUUAUUUUUUUAAAAUAAUAUGUAUUAUUUCUGUUCGUAUAAAUAAAACCUCAAACACUCCCACAUCCUUUACUCCCACCCCACUGCAUCACAGUAGUCGGAGGGCAGAGACGUGGAGAGACAGGGGAAGAGGAAUAAAGCUGAGGAGAGCCCACUGCACCACAGUCAGUACCCGGUGGACACACACAGGCAGAAGCAGGGGAAGAGGAAUAAAGCUGAGAAGAGAGUCAUAUGACCUGGAAUAAAAUAUGAAGAUAUCUGGUUAAUUAGGGGCCGGGUUAUUUGGUGUGGGCAGCUGAUGGAGAACUCCAAAGGGAUCGCAUUGAUCUCUCCCUCUCUAUCUUGAUGGUGCUGUGAGAUCAUGCGAUUCCUUUGGAAUUUUCCGCCUGUUGCUUCCUUUUUUUUUUUUUCCCCUCUACAAACUGGUGAGAGAAUUUUUUCCUCUCCACUUGGAUAUCAUGGAGGCAUCGUCUAGAAGGACCGCCGCCGUUGGGCCGCCGCCACCAUCGCCGGCUACCGUCACCGUCACUGUACAGCUGUCGGAUUCACAGGAGAGUUGAAGAUUGGAGAAUAGGUGCUGGUGUCCUCAUUUAAGCAUGUAACAAUCAACCAGCUCAUCUUUUUCGGAUAUGAGAUAAACAAGAAGCUCAAAUUGAUUUUACAGGUCCGAUCUAAGUCUUCACCAACAUCUUCAAACCCAAUCUUAAAGCAAUGGUUGGGCUACAUUUUGGCGGCGGCAUUUUCCAGUUGAACCAUCUACAUAUCGUUCAGGGAUUCAUGUAUUGCAGAAAUCUAAAGGGCUUCAGCAUUUUUCCUUCCAAUAUGAUCACUUUCAAAUACUGCUCCUUGUUAGGAGCUCUUUUAAAAGAAACAUUUUACCCCACUGCCAAGCUUCCGGUUCUGCACUUUAAAUAUCUCUACCACAAGGUCAAAUCAGAACAAUGGUUUUUAUGAACAUGAUCUUUAAGCAUGCAACUGUUAAGCUGCUUUAA